AGCAGCGAGAUGAAGGCUGCUGGUAGUGCUCUCCUCGGCUGGGGCUAGAAGUCCUUCACAGUCGGGGGAUCUUGGCAGCGUGCCACUGUGUCUACUUCAUAAGAUCUGGCUGAAAAAUGAGAAUGUCUUCCCCACUGUGCCACUGAAGACUUGUUUACUGAGCAUCUGUGUGAGAAGAGAUUAGCUGGAAUGCACAGCCAGGAGUAACUGGAGCGUGCUGUCACAGGGACAAGGGGCACGUGACCCGAACUGAACAACCCAGCAUGGAGGAGUGAAAUUCUCAUCAACGGAGAAGCAAGGCGAAGGUGAAAGGGUGAAUAAUUCUGUGAAAACAGGCCCGCUGCCACCAAUUAUCAGCCUGCUAAGCGGUGCUGGAGGCCACAGAAAACCAAUAUAUACUGUGAAGAGGACAAGGCUGGAGUCACCAUGUGGGGCCCGAGAAUCGGAGCCCUACCACUUACCAACUAGGUGACCUGGGGCAAGUUACUUAUCCUCUCUGUGCCUCCGUUUCUCCUCUGUAAAAAUGGCGAUAAUGACCAAACCUUAUUCACAGGGCUAAAUUAAAACUGUGAACUACUUGUAA